GAAGCAGACCAGACCGCCGCUGGGGCAAGGCUCGAAAGGGCGCCCUGGAGGAAGGUCCGGACUGCACAGGGCAGCGUAGCAGCUAACGGCUGUCCACCGCGAGGUGAGGAUCAGAGCAACAGAGACGAGUCAGGGCAGGGCGCAAGCCCCGCCUUGAGUGAAACGGGCAAUCUCUACGCGCAGCAACACCAAAUAGGCACACGUUGAUCUGGCCCGGAGAGUGUGCGGGUAGGUGGCAUUGAGCCGGGUGGGCGACCCCCGGCCCAGAGGAAUGGCGGUCACGCCGCCGGCUUCGCAAGGGGCCGGCGGUGCACAGAAUCCGGCCCAUCGGUCUGCUUCACAC
rnacentral:RNase_P_RNA from 2 species